UCUUGCUUGUUGGAGAUAAAAGAAAGCACCUGACCGAAAUGCUGAGGGAAAAAAGGCAGGUUGAAUUGUGACGACGGUGGUUGUGACUUGCGGGGCCCACUGAACACUUUUUGGGUCAAAUUUUUAUAACUUUGAAUUUCCUUCACGUGGGUUUGGUCUUUUUGUUUUGUGUGUAUGUCAGAAAGUGAAGAUAUGAUAAGGAUGGAAUGUGGUGGGUUUGGCCUUUUUGUUUUGUGUGUAUGUCAGAAAGUGAAUAUAUGAUAUGGAUGGAAUGUGAUAUUGUCUGAUAUUUUUUUUUUUUUGAGAGUGUGGUGAGCAGUAUUGAUGUGUGUAUGGAGUUGAUGGGUUGAGUCGGUGGAUUGCCUUAUAUAUUUGAGUGUUGCGUGCACUGAUAAAAUACAAAGACACAGAAAGAAAGUAAGAGAAAAAAAUUAAAGAAGAUAGGAGAGAGCCGAGACAGAGAGAGAGAGAAACAGAGGAGUCGAGAGUUGCAGAGAAGCCGGAGCUUGAGAUUUUGACGAUUCAGUGCGGAAAUAUAUCUUAUUCAGUUUUCAGGUACCGAAGAUGAACAGAAAUCGCUAGUUUUGGGCUUAGGCUGAAGAGUUGGUGUUACAAGAUUUAUUUUAUUUAUUUGGAAAUUUUUUUGUGUAUUUGAGAAAAUUAAUUUUGUAUAAAAAAAGGAUAUUUUUUGUAAUCUUGAGUAUAUUUUGAUGUAUUUGAAUUUUAAUAAAUUGAAAAUUUUAUUAGAAAAAUUUGAGGUUGUGACAAUCAGAUGCAAUAUCUGUACUACAGAGAAUUCAGACUAUGUUUAGAGACCCAUUCACAACUUUGUACCUUCUUUAGUUUAUUGUAAUUUGGGCAAGUUGUUCAUUGUCUGUUGUAAAUGCUAAGGAAGCUCUAUGAUCUUGGAAUUUUGUGGUUUUACUAUUUAAACAUGUUGCCAAGAUCAUAAUUUUAUUAUAGGUGUGAAAUAAAUACAUACUUUUUUUGUUGUUUGGCAGAA